ACGGGAGGCGGCAGUGGGGAAUAUUGGGCAAUGGGCGAAAGCCUGACCCAGCGACGCCGCGUGAGGGAAGAAGGUCUUCGGAUUGUAAACCUCUUUCAGCAGGGAAGAAGAAGAUGACGGUACCUGCAGAAGAAGUCACGGCUAACUACGUGCCAGCAGGCGCGGUAAUACGUAGGUGGCGAGCGUUAUCCGGAAUUACUGGGUGUAAAGGGUGUGUAGGCGGAGAAGCAAGUCAGGUGUGAAAUGUAUGGGCUCAACCCAUAGACUGCACUUGAAACUGUUUCCCUUGAGAGUGGGAGAGGUAAACGGAAUUCCUGGUGUAGUAGUGAAAUGCGUAGAUAUCAGGAGGAACACCGGUGGCGAAGGCGGUUUACUGGACCACAACUGACGCUGAGGCUCGAAAGCGUGGGGAGCAAACAGGAUUAGAUACCCUGGUA
rnacentral:rRNA from 1 species